UACAGGGGGUGCAAACGUUGCUCGGAAUCAUUGGGCGUAAAGCGCACGUAGGCGGUCUGUUAUGUCGGAUGUGAAAGCCCUUGGCUCAACUGAGGAAGUGCAUCCGAAACUGGCAGGCUAGAGUACUAAAGAGGAUCGCGGAAUUCCCGGUGUAGAGGUGAAAUUCGCAGAUAUCAGGAGGAACACCGGUGGCGAAGGCGGCUUCCUGGACCUGUCCGUGACGCUCAGGCGCGAAAGCUAGGGGAGCAAACAGG
rnacentral:rRNA from 1 species